rnacentral:rRNA from 1 species
UGAGGAAUCUUGCGCAAUGGGGGCAACCCUGACGCAGCAACGCCGCGUGAGUGAUGAAGGCCUUCGGGUCGUAAAGCUCUGUCAGGCGGAAAGAAUGUUUCCAGGGUGAACAAUCCUGGAGAUUGACGGUACCGCCAGAGGAAGCACCGGCUAACUCCGUGCCAGCAGCCGCGGUAAUACGGAGGGUGCUAGCGUUGUUCGGAAUUAUUGGGCGUAAAGAGCGUGUAGGCGGCCUCGUAAGUCAGAUGUGAAAGCCCUUGGCUUAACCAAGGAAGUGCAUUUGAAACUGCCUGGCUUGAGUACGGGAGGGGAAAGCGGAAUUCCCGGUGUAGAGGUGAAAUUCGUAGAUAUCGGGAGGAACACCGGUGGCGAAGGCGGCUUUCUGGACCGAUACUGACGCUGAGACGCGAAAGCGUGGGGAGCAAACAGG